AACUUUUGGCAACGGAUCUCUUGGCUCUCGCAUCGAUGAAGAACGCAGCGAAUUGCGAUAAGUAAUGUGAAUUGCAGAUUUCCAGUGAAUCAUCGAAUCUUUGAACGCACCUUGCGCCCUUUGGCUAUUCUGAAGGGCAUGCCUGUUUGAGUAUCAUGAACACCUCAACUCUCAUGGUCCGCCAUGAUGAGCUUGGACUUUGGGGGUCUUGCCGGCCUAGUGUCGGCUCCUCUCAAAUGGAUCAGCUUGCCAGUGUUUGGUGGCGUCACAGGUGUGAUAACUAUCUACGCUUGUGGUUUUCUGCCAUAUAACCUUCAGUGAUGGAGGUUCUCUGGAGCUCACAGAUGUCUCUCCUUGGGGAGGACAGCUUUUGAACGUUUGAUCUCAAAUCAGGUAGGACUACCCGCUGAACUUAAGCAUAUCAAUAAGCGGAGGCU
rnacentral:misc_RNA from 1 species